UCAGCCCUUUUUGGUUUCUUGGCUCUCUUCCACCCAUUGUGCGACCUCUCAAUUCAUUUCAUCUCAAACCCACCUUCUCUCUUUACUUACCUAAUUUCAAAUACCCUCCUUUCCUACCCACAAGUAAUAGGCUAUAAAGAGAACCUCUCUCUCUCUCUCUCUCUAUGCAAGGCAUUAUAAAUUGCGGUACGAGACUCCUUGACAACUUCAACAUUGCUAUUUGAUCAGCAAUUCCUUUUUCUUCUUGUCUUAAUCCCAGAUAGUGUUCUUUUGAGAAGAGCUACUUCUUCAAACUCAAGGUGAGCUCCAAGAAGGGAAAUAUUGCUUGAGAGAAAAGCCAGGUACAGCUUCCAAGAUGAGCGGCGGAAGAGCAAAGAGCCCCAAGCUAGAGCUGAGGCUGAACUUGUCGCCACCGAGAGCUGACGAUGGCCAUUAUCAUCUCCAAACGAAGGAAUCGCCAAACUCAUCACCUUCUUCAUGCGAAAGCUCAUGCAUCUCCACCUCACCAACGGGGCUCGAAGCGAACCGCAACAGCAACAGCAAUGGCAACGUCAGCAUAGGCUACUUGGGCAAGGAUCCUCGACCUCGAGUGGUCGCUUCGAUGGUGGUCGUGGGCUGCCCUCGAUGCCUCAUGUACGUGAUGCUAUCCGAGGUCGACCCCAAGUGCCCGAGGUGCAAGAGCUCCGUCCUGCUCGAUUUCGUCAACGAAGACAAUCACUCUGCCAAGAAGAACAGGAUCUGAAGCGCUCGAACCCGGAAAUCCCUACGAGAUUUGCUCUUUUGCUCAGGGCCUCUAUACAAUAGUAGUCGCCUCUCUUGACGUGGUGAUUCAGUUCGAUGAUCUACUUCGCUUUGCACGCGUCUCGUUUCGAUCUCUCUUUUCUUUCUCCUGUCUGCUUUCCUCUUGUGAUGCAGUUUGACUUUGAUCUGCCUAGCUAGAAAAGAUUAAUUUAUUAGUUAAAAGGUAGUUCUAUCACUAAUGUCGUGUUACUAAAUUUCUCUGUCUAAAUUAUUUGGUUAAUGGAAUACUUGCAAACCCUCGAA